GUGUACAAUCAUACUUCUCUGAACACGCCCAAUCUCAUCUGACCUUGGAAACUAAGCAGGGUUGGGCCUGGUUAGUACUUACAUAAUUGGAGAAUGGGAGAAUUAUUCUACACA
rnacentral:rRNA from 1 species